AACUUUCAACAACGGAUCUCUUGGUUCUGGCAUCGAUGAAGAACGCAGCGAAAUGCGAUAAGUAAUGUGAAUUGCAGAAUUCAGUGAAUCAUCGAAUCUUUGAACGCACAUUGCGCCCGCCAGUAUUCUGGCGGGCAUGCCUGUCCGAGCGUCAUUUCAACCAUCAAGCCCCGC
rnacentral:rRNA from 1 species